CCUACGGGCGGCAGCAGUGGGGAAUAUUGGACAAUGGGGGGAACCCUGAUCCAGCCAUGCCGCGUGUGUGAAGAAGGCCCUCGGGUUGUAAAGCACUUUCAGUGAGGAAGAACGCCUGGUGGUUAAUACCCAUCAGGAAAGACAUCACUCACAGAAGAAGCACCGGCUAACUCCGUGCCAGCAGCCGCGGUAAUAUGGAGGGUGCGAGCGUUAAUCGGAAUUACUGGGCGUAAAGCGCGCGUAGGUGGCUUGAUAAGCCGGUUGUGAAAGCCCCGGGCUCAACCUGGGAACGGCAUCCGGAACUGUCAAGCUAGAGUGCAGGAGAGGAAGGUAGAAUUCCCGGUGUAGCGGUGAAAUGCGUAGAGAUCGGGAGGAAUACCAGUGGCGAAGGCGGCCUUCUGGACUGACACUGACACUGAGGUGCGAAAGCGUGGGUAGCAAACAGGAUUAGAUACCCGAGUAGUC
rnacentral:rRNA from 1 species